rnacentral:rRNA from 1 species
CCUACGGGCGGCAGCAGUGGGGAAUAUUGCACAAUGGGGGAAACCCUGAUGCAGCGACGCCGCGUGAGUGAAGAAGUAAUUCGUUAUGUAAAGCUCUAUCAGCAGGGAAGAAAAUGACGGUAACUGAGUAAGAAGCCCCGGCUAACUACGUGCCAGCAGCCGCGGUAAUACGUAGGGGGCAAGCGUUAUCCGGAUUUACUGGGUGUACAGGGAGCGUAGACGGCAGUGCAAGUCUGGAGUGAAAGGCGGGGGGUCAACCCCCGGACUGCUCUGGAAACUGUACGGCUGGAGUGCAGGAGAGGGAAGUGGAAUUCCUAGUGUAGCGGUGAAAUGCGUAGAUAUUAGGAGGAACACCAGUGGCGAAGGCGGCUUACUGGACUGUAACUGACGUUGAGGCUCGAAAGCGUGGGGAGCAAACAGGAUUAGAUACCCCAGUAGUC